UACGUAGGGGCAAGCGUUGUCCGGAUUUAUUGGGCGUAAAGAGCGUGUAGGCGGCCUUACAGGUCAGCUGUGAAAACUCGAGGCUCAACCUCGAGACGUCGGUUGAAACCGUAUGGCUAGAGUCCGGAAGAGGAGAGUGGAAUUCCCGGUGUAGCGGUGAAAUGCGUAGAGAUCCGGAAGAACACCGGUGGCGAAGGCGGCCUGCUGGGCAGGUAGCUGACACUGAGGCGCGACAGCGUGGGGAGCAAAGCAGG
rnacentral:rRNA from 1 species